AGCUGACCUGACUGGCCCUGAAGUCAACCUGGGAGGACCAUCCUGGAACCCCGAAGGACACCACCACUCAGGUCUUCAGCUCUGCCCACCUUACCUAGGACAGACAUCUUCUCAGCUGAGCCCUCUGGAAGUUCCUCAUACUUCUUCAGCAGCCUCAGGUUAACUCCACUACCAGAAUCCCGAGAAGACUGCCAAGAGGUCUCAGAAGAAGAUAUAAACACAAAGUGAUGUUCUGGCACUACAACUGUGGACAGAAACACACAUCAACGGGCUGGACAACAGAGUAUCAUGUGGAACACUGAGUUUGUGCUUCUAUGGAUAAACUGACAGAUUUGUGUGUAUUCUUGCACCACAUGAGAGAGAUAAAGAGAUGCAGUCUUCAACUACAGAGGAAAUUGAAGAAAUGAACACUUUGGGGAGGACCUCUCACUAA